ensembl:lncRNA
AAAUAUCUGAAUGCGAAUUUCAAAUUCAUCUAUGCCACUUUUUCAUUCUUGAAGUGCACUUUUGCCUGUUUGGAGAUAAAAUAAAUUAUUUCAGACCGCCGCUUGAACUGUGUAGAUAUUCAAAGAUGACCAGAAAAAUGGGUCCACUCUUACCAUCUGCCCCGUGGAUGAUCUUGCCGGAUCCACCCCUGACCUAGAUCCCAGCCCACCAUCUCCCCACGGUAUGGAGCAUAAGCCUGAGCCCACCGAUGACGGAUAGCCAGAGCCCAACCCAUCAGACCAGGUGCGAGAGCCGGCUACAGUGCCCACCGUAAGGGAGAGAGCCGCGGACGGUGUGAGCGUGGAGUGGAGCUCCGCCCCCUGCUUUGCGGCUGAGGGUGAGCUGAAUAUGGAACACCAAAAGGGCCAAAAUGAGGAGGUGGAUCUUAUAGAUUGGGAAUCGGAACUGGAAAUUGAACUGCCCCCUCUUCUCAUUCUGUCGUUUCCGCUGGUCCCGUCCAGCCCUCCUUCGUCCUUGGUUUCCACGUCCAGCCCUGAGGGGACUUCCAAUCCUCCAGUGCCCGCUCCUAGAAAGUGUCCUCCAAUGCCCGCUCCUAGAAAGUGUCCUCCAGUGCCUGCUCCUAGAAAGUGUCCUCCAGUGCCCGCUCAUAGAAAGUGUCCUCCAGUGCCCGCUCAUAGAAAGUGUCCUCCAGUGCCCGCUCAUAGAAAGUGUCCUCCAGUGCCCGCUCAUAGAAAGUGUCCUCCAGUGCCCGCUCAUAGAAAGUGUCCUCCAGUGCCCGCUCAUAGAAAGUGUCCUCCAGUGCCCGCUCAUAGAAAGUGUCCUCCAGUGCCCGCUCAUAGAAAGUGUCCUCCAGUGCCCGCUCAUAGAAAGUGUCCUCCAGUGCCCGCUCAUAGAAAGUGUCCUCCAGUGCCCGCUCAUAGAAAGUGUCCUCCAGUGCCCGCUCAUAGAAAGUGUCCUCCAGUGCCCGCUCAUAGAAAGUGUCCUCCAGUGCCCGCUCAUAGAAAGUGUCCUCCAGUGCCCGCUCAUAGAAAGUGUCCUCCAGUGCCCGCUCAUAGAAAGUGUCCUCCAGUGCCCGCUCAUAGAAAGUGUCCUCCAGUGCCCGCUCAUAGAAAGUGUCCUCCAGUGCCCGCUCAUAGAAAGUGUCCUCCAGUGCCCGCUCAUAGAAAGUGUCCUCCAGUGCCCGCUCAUAGAAAGUGUCCUCCAGUGCCCGCUCAUAGAAAGUGUCCUCCAGUGCCCGCUCAUAGAAAGUGUCCUCCAGUGCCGCUCCUAGAAUGUGUCCUCCAGUGCCAGCUCCUCCAAAAUGCCUGCCCUCCCACCCGCUCCUGCAUCCUCCACCGCUGUCGUCUGGUAGCCCAUCUGCUCACCCUCAGCCCACCAUCUAUGCGGCCAUUCCUCCUCCAUGGCUCCUCCCACCAUUGGCUCCACCUUGGGCCGCUGUUAUGGCUGUGGCCUGCUGGACUCCUCCUGGCUCCUCCCUCCGUCUCCUCCCUGGCUCCUCCCUCUGUGGUCUUUGUCUGCCAGCCCCCUCCUGGGGGUCUGUCCUCCACUGGAGCCUCCUCCCAAGUUCCUACUUGCGCCUCCUCCUGGUGUUGCCUACGGUGCAAGGAUGCACCUUCCUGGGAGGGGGGUGAAAUGUCAGAACUAUG